rnacentral:rRNA from 1 species
UACGUAGGUGGCAAGCGUUAUCCGGAAUUAUUGGGCGUAAAGCGCGCGCAGGUGGUUUAAUAAGUCUGAUGUAAAAGGCAGUGGCUCAACCAUUGUGUGCAUUGGAAACUGUUAGACUUGAGUGCAGUAGAGGAGAGUGGAAUUCCAUGUGUAGCGGUGAAAUGCGUAGAUAUAUGGAGGAACACCGGUGGCGAAAGCGGCUCUCUGGACUGUAACUGACACUGAGGCUCGAAAGCGUGGGUAGCAAACAGG